CGAUAGAUCGGCUUUUUGUAGGGGCGUUCGGCUCACCUCCACGUUUGGAAAGAAGGGAGGUGAGAAUAUGGCAGUAGAAAGUGCAAUUCAAUUGAUGCUUUCCUUCGGAAUUCUAAUUGUAGCAAUUCUGACGUUAGCCUAUAAUUUCACAAAUAAAAAAAAGUAAGAACGCCCCAGACUCCUACAUCUUGGCGUUCCUACUCAUAAAUUAGACUUUUGGAAAAAAGCCGACUCCCUUGCAGGAGCUAUUCUAUUGCAGAUCGGAGAUGUUACCAGCAUCUUCG
rnacentral:sRNA from 1 species